UUAUUGACAAGGCAAACUGAGCGAAAGCUCAGGACGCAAAGCUACGGAUCUUCCACUCUUAGGGGUAAAGAUGGCCGAGUUACCAAU
rnacentral:ncRNA from 2 species